GCGACGUUUCCUUCUGGAAGUUACAAACUUCCUGGCAAACUUAAUAUACCCUAAUCAGGGUAUAAAAAUUCGCUAACUACGGGUAAUAUAUGUCACAAUAUUAAAAUUUCUACCCAUGCAGUGUUGCAUUUGGUUUUAUACACAACUAACCAUACUAUACCACGUGGUGAGUAAUUAUUGCAUUCACAAUUUGCCUGCCACUAGGUCUCUUUCCGGUUACUAAAUCUUUUCACUGAACAGCUAUUGGGCGGCACGCAACAGAGCAUCGUCGAAUUACGCGUUUAUGGAAACUAAAACUUAAUUAAACAGCAAAAACCUACAAUAAGGCGCAAGGCAUACGCGAAAUUGUCAAAAUCGAAUGUAUUGAGUGAAUUUACUUAAAUUUGCGUAAUGAAUUCACUUAAAAGAUGCUGAAUAAGGAAGAGUGUUAACUACAGCGCAGGCUACCGAGUGAAGACGAAAUGCCGCUAGUUGAGCAAACCACACACUUUACUGCAUAAUCCAUUUGAAAUGCUCUGAAAUUCAUCCAUGAAGUGACCAACAAAUUCACACACACGGAAGACGCCAACAAAAUGCUAAUUUUAUGCUUAAAAUCCAAAGUAUUGAUAUUUUGUUUGUAUUUUAUAAGCUAGCAGUAGAGAGAAUGGUAUUGUUCGUAAAUGUUAAAUGUUUAAAUUUUAGGUAACUUGAGUUUAAACCAAAAAACGGCAAAAAGCUGUUGUAAAGUUAUAAAAAGCUUCGAAUUGAUUUGAAAAAGACUGAAAAAUGUACAUACAUAUGUGUAAUUGCACUAUGCAUUUGUAAAAAAAAAAUGGACUGAAUUGUAUAGCUGAUAAGGUGUUAAGUACACACCAAAAUUAAAUAAUGAAAAAUGAGUAAAAAAUAUAUGCGAAAUACAAUAUGAAAAUGACAAAUUGAAA